CGGAUCGGAACAGUACUGUACAUUACUUGC
rnacentral:piRNA from 1 species